rnacentral:rRNA from 1 species
UAGUCUCGCACAGAUGCAUAUCAAUAAGCGGAGGAAAAGAAACUAACAAGGAUUCCCCUAGUAACGGCGAGUGAAGCGGGAAGAGCUCAAAUUUGAAAUCUUAAAGGGCUUCCCUUUACGAAUUGUAGUUUAAAGAAGUGUUUUCUGUUGAGGUUUUGGUAAAAGUCCUUUGGAAUAGGACAUCAUAGAGGGUGAGAAUCCCGUAUUUGACCUUUACUUUCAACUUUGUGAUACACUUUCAAAGAGUCGGAUUGUUUGGGAAUGCAGUCCAAAAUGGGUGGUAAAUUUCAUCUAAAGCUAAAUAUUGGCGAGAGACCGAUAGCGAACAAGUACCGUGAGGGAAAGAUGAAAAGAACUUUGAAAAGAGAGUUAAACAGUACGUGAAAUUGUCAAAAGGGAAGCGUUUGACACCAGUGUUGUUUUUCUGAAAAUCAAUUAAAGAACUGUUUAUGCUAAGCUGUUUAGACUUUAUCAGCUAACUGUUUAGUUUUGAGCUUUUCUUUAAUGCACUUUUCAGUUAACAAGUCAACAUCAAUUUCUUUUGCUGUAAAAAAGCUUGAGGAAGGUGGCUUGAGAUUCGUCUUAAGUGUUUAUAGCCUCUUGCCUAUGCAGUCGGAGAGAUUGAGGUCUGCAGCGUAGAUCCUUCGGGGCUAAAUGCAUUUGUGCUAAGUUAUAGCAUUUUCAUAGACAACUUGUUGACUAUGAUUUGUCUUGUAGCUUACUCGCUUAUGUUAUUUUACCUACGCUUAGGAUGUUGAUCUGUAGUGCGUGCGC